UCGCCUCCUCAUUUUCUGUCUAAAAAUCAUCUCCGUGAAGCAUAUCGAGAAAAAAAAUCACAUUUUAUUUUUAUUGUCUGUCGAAUAAACAACAAAGCGCACAGACGGAGCGCACCGUGAUGGCGGAGGAUCGUCACGUUUAGGUCAAAGAAAAGACUCAAAUCUGGACAAGAUGUCCAUCAGUGUGCAGGCACCAUGAGGUGACGACUGUGACAUUCUCUAUUAUUGCCAACUGGGACUUAUGGCAAGGAUCACUUUCUCCUGCCUGCCGGCCUCCUGGUACUGCAGCGUGUCCCUGCUGUCUCUGGGCUGUGCUCCCAGGCAGAGACUGCUGCUGCUGCUCAUCAUCACCUCCGCCCUCCUCCUCUUGGGAACCUAUCAGAGGCAGCUUUGGGGCCCGCACCGACGGCCGGGGUCCGGAGUCAA